rnacentral:misc_RNA from 1 species
GAUGAAGAACGCAGCGAACGUGCGAAACGUAAUGUGAAUUGCAGAAUUCAGUGAAUCAUCGAAUCUUUGAACGCAUCUUGCGCUCCUUGGUAUUCCGAGGAGCAUGCCUGUUUGAGUGUCGUGAAUAUCUCUCAAUCUUAAACGUUUUUUUUUUUUUUUCGUUUGAAAUUGGACUUGGGCGUUGUCGUUUGUUUGGACGACUCGUCCCUAAAUACAUUAGCGAUCUGCCCCUGAUCACACACAAUGUGAUAAGUUUUUAAGCAUUGUCAUGGUUAGGUUUCGGUGAUGGCUUCUAACCGUCGUUAAGACAAACUCAUAUCAUGUCAUUUGACCUCAAAUCAGGUAGGACUACCCGCUGAACUUAAGCAUAUCAAUAAGCGGAGGA